rnacentral:rRNA from 1 species
GGUUACUGCUAUCGGUGUUCGCCUAAGCCAUGCGAGUCAUAUGUUCGUAAGAACAUGGCGUACUGCUCAGUAACACGUGGAUAACCUGCCCUUGGGUCCGGCAUAACCCCGGGAAACUGGGGAUAAUUCCGGAUAACGCACAUAUGCUGGAAUGCUUUAUGCGUAAAAUGGGUUCGUCUGCCCAAGGAUGGGUCUGCGGCCUAUCAGGUAGUAGUGGGUGUAAUGUACCUACUAGCCUACGACGGGUACGGGUUGUGAGAGCAAGAGCCCGGAGAUGGAUUCUGAGACAUGAAUCCAGGCCCUACGGGGCGCAGCAGGCGCGAAAACUUUACAAUGCGGGAAACCGUGAUAAGGGGACACCGAGUGCCAGCAUCCUAUGCUGGCUGUCCGGGUGUGUAAAAUACACCUGUUAGCAAGGGCCGGGCAAGACCGGUGCCAGCCGCCGCGGUAACACCGGCGGCCCGAGUGGUGAUCGUGAUUAUUGGGUCUAAAGGGUCCGUAGCCGGUUUGGUCAGUCCUCCGGGAAAUCUGACAGCUUAACUGUUAGGCUUUCGGAGGAUACUGCCAGACUUGGAACCGGGAGAGGUAAGAGGUACUACAGGGGUAGGAGUGAAAUCUUGUAAUCCCUGUGGGACCACCUGUGGCGAAGGCGUCUACCAGAACGGGUUCGACGGUGAGGGACGAAAGCUGGGGGCACGAACCGGAUUAGAUACCCGGGUAGUCCCAGCCGUAAACGAUGCUCGCUAGGUGUCAGGCAUGGCGCGACCGUGUCUGGUGCCGCAGGGAAGCCGUGAAGCGAGCCACCUGGGAAGUACGGCCGCAAGGCUGAAACUUAA